UGUUUGGCACACAGCAGGGUGGGGGAGCAGGGGGAGAGCUGAGAGGGGCCCGUGGGGUGUAAGGGGUGAGCUGUGUGGUGGGGAGGGGGCUGCAGGGCCAACAGCCAGAGCAGGAUUUGUUUUUGCUGUGAGUGUCCCAGAGCUUUGUGUCACAGGGUUUGCUGCCGGGGCUCAGCCCCAGGUGGUGACACGGGUGGGACUCGGCGGUUCCAUUCCUGAGGUGAGGGAGCACCAGGUGUGGAAAUGAGAACUUGGGUACUUGAUUUAUCGCUCCAUGCUGCUUGAGUUGCAACUUUGUUCCCCACGUAGCAGGGAACAGUGAUAAGGUGGUUUCUGCACUUGAGCAAAUGUGGCUGGAGCAGGAGGUGAUUCUGCAGGAUGGUGAGAGCUGCUCUUGCAGUUUGGUAAUACCUGUGUGGUCUUUCUGGGUUAUCACAGAAUCGUAGAAGGGUUUUGCCUGAAAGGGACCAUGGAGACCCUCUCCUUCCACCCCCUGCCAUGGGCAGGGACACCUUCCACUAUCCCAGGCUGCCCUGCCCCAUCCAGCCUGGCUUUGAAUAUGUCCACAGCUUCUCUGGGCACCCUGUGCCAAGGGCCUCCCCACCCUCCCCAAUUCCCUAAUGCCCCAUCCAACCCUUCCCUGUGCCUGUUGAAACCAUUCCCCCUUGUCCUGGCACUCCAUGCUCUUGUAAAAAGUCCCCCCCAGCUUUCCUGUGGCUUAUAGAAAGCAGUUGUGCCUAAUUGGAUGGUGAACAUGAAUAAAAUCCUUUCUUCAG